AUUGAACGCUGGCGGAAUGCUUUACACAUGCAAGUCGAGCGGCAGCACGGGGGCAACCCUGGUGGCGAGCGGCGAACGGGUGAGUAAUACAUCGGAACAUGCCCAGUCGUGGGGGAUAACACUUCGAAAGAAGUGCUAAUACCGCAUACGUCCUGAGGGGGAAAGCGGGGGAUCGCAAGACCUCGCGCGAUUGGAGUGGCCGAUGUCAGAUUAGCUAGUUGGUGGGGUAAAGGCCUACCAAGGCAACGAUCUGUAGCUGGUCUGAGGGGAUGAUCAGCCACACUGGGACUGAGACACGGCCCAGACUCCUACGGGAGGCAGCAGUGGGGAAUUUUGGACAAUGGGGGCAACCCUGAUCCAGCCAUUCCGCGUGAGUGAAGAAGGCCUUCGGGUUGUAAAGCUCUUUCGGCAGGAACGAAACGGUGAGCUCUAACAUAGCUUGCUAAUGACGGUACCUGAAGAAGAAGCACCGGCUAACUACGUG
rnacentral:rRNA from 1 species